rnacentral:rRNA from 1 species
UACGUAGGGGGCAAGCGUUGUCCGGAAUUAUUGGGCGUAAAGGGCGCGUAGGCGGUCUGACAAGUCUUGUGUGAAAUCUCUGGGCUCAACCCAGAGUCUGCAUAGGAAACUGUCGGGCUUGAGUAUGGGAGAGGUGAGUGGAAUUUCCGGUGUAGCGGUGAAAUGCGUAGAUAUCGGAAGGAACACCUGUGGCGAAAGCGGCUCACUGGACCAUAACUGACGCUGAGGCGCGAAAGCUAGGGGAGCAAACAGG